rnacentral:lncRNA from 1 species
UUGAGCAUUGUUCUUAAUUAGAUUUUGUGAUUCAGAUUUGUGCAUGAUGAAGACACAAGCAAGCGAACCCGUCAUUCCAUCUCAAAGUGAUAAUGAUAAAGGGUAUCCACUACACCAACCACCACACCAACCACAACCACCACACCAUUCCCCACCCCACCAAGCACCACCACCACACCACCACCACCAUCGACACCACCCACGUCACUCGCCACCACCACACCAAGCACCACCACCACACAUAGCACAACCACAAUUCCGUCGAGCACCACCUCCACCUUAUUGAGUCAUCUUUUUCUUCGGAUGCAAUUUGUCAUCUUUUUACUCUUAUGUAUUCUUAGUUCUUAAUAAAGUAUGAUUAUUUUGUUUCAUGUCUCAUGAUGUUCCUAUAUUAUAUCACAUCUUCGGAGACAAAUGGGUUACAAAACUAAAAUAAAGAAAAAAAAUUGGUUAGUUUUUAAAAAAAUACUCACUACAAAUGUGUAAUUAAUUGAUCUCAAUAUAUAUAUAUAUAUAUAUAUAUAUAUAUAUAUAUAUUAAUUACAGAAAAGAAAAAUAAUUUUGAAAUAUUUGAAGAAAACUGAGAUCAUGAAAAACACAAACUAUACAAUAAAAAUAAAACUAUAAAAACUAAUCAAACUAAGAAAGUACACUAAGAGAUAAAAAAAGAAAUAUAGAAAAAAGAAGACAACAAAAACCUAGAAAAGUAAUUUAAAUAACAUAUUAGAAUUAUUAAAAUAAAUUAUUCAAACGGUACAAGAGUAUUAUUAAACUAAAAAUCACAAUUGAUAUGAAAAGAAAAACAUGAAGUAUUGCAUUAAUUUGUCAAACUAAUAAAAUAAAAUAAAUAAUUUUAUGUCUAAACCUUAUCAUUUUAAGAAAUUUGAUACACCUUUAUUUUUUCCAACUUUCUUUAACCAUUUACACUUGUUAUGACCUCUGUAUGUCUUGGUCAAAUGUUAUUUAAAACAUUGGACAUAUGUCUAAUUAUCAAGAAUUGUGAUAGAAAACUGACAAAAACUAACAAAAAGACAUUGCACUAAAGACAAAUAAGAUAUAAUCAAUGAAAGUCUUUAUAUUAAACAAGUUUGGUUGUCAUUAAUAUAUAAUAAAAUACCAACAUUAAUUAAUCAAGAACAACUCAAUAAUUAAUUGGAUAAUUCCAAUAUUUUUUUUACAAUAUUUUAACAUCAUUUAUGUGUAAUUAUGUGAUUAAUCCAUAGUGGUGUUUAUAAUUAUUAUUAUUAUUGAUUAUGGAGUAAUUUUGGAUCAAUCAGAAAAUGACAUAAUGUUAAAAUAUUGUUAAAAAAAUAUUAUCAAAGUAUCAUUUUCCUAAUUUAAAUUAGACAAAACUCGAAGUAUAAAAUAUGCAAAAUUGCUCAUUUUUACAUUACAUAUUUUGAUUUCUUAUGAAAUCAUAUCGUUAACAUUGCUUUUGUGGACAAUUUGAGUUACUUUUUUAUUUGGAAAAUUGGUUGAGCAUUGUUCUUAAUUAGAUUUUGUGAUUCAGAUUUGUGCAUGAUGAAGACACAAGCAAGCGAACCGGUUAUUCCAUCUCAAAGUGAUAAUGAUAAAGGGUACCCACUACACCAACCACCACACCAACCACAACCACCACACCAUUCCCCACCCCACCAAGCACCACCACCACACCACCACCACCAUCGACACCACCCACGUCACUCGCCACCACCACACCAAGCACCACCACCACACAUAGCACAACCACAAUUCCGUCGAGCACCAG